rnacentral:rRNA from 1 species
AUUGAACGCUGGCGGCAGGCCUAAUACAUGCAAGUCGAACGGUAACAUAAGAAAGCUUGCUUUCUUGAUGACGAGUGGCGGACGGGUGAGUAAUAUUUGGGAAGCUACCUGAUAGAGGGGGACAACAGUUGGAAACGACUGCUAAUACCGCAUACAGCCUGAGGGUGAAAGCAGCAAUGCGCUAUCAGAUGCGCCCAAACGGGAUUAGCUAGUAGGUGAGGUAAAAGGCUCACCUAGGCGACGAUCUCUAGCUGGUCUGAGAGGAUGAUCAGCCACAUUGGGACUGAGACACGGCCCAGACUCCUACGGGAGGCAGCAGUAGGGAAUAUUGCACAAAUGGAGGGAAAACUCUGAUGCAGCCAUNCCGCGUGUGUGAAGAAAGGCCUCGGUUGUAAGGUAACGACGUUACGUACGGG